GGUGGGCAGAAUGGUUCCUUAAAGAUGUCCAAGUGCUAAUAAUCCCUGCAACUCGUAACAGCUGUGGACGUUCAGUUAGACGGCAAAUGGGAAUUAAAGCUGCAGGUGCAAUUAGGGCUGCUAAUAGACAGGAAGCAGUUCCUGGACUAUCCAGGUGGGUCCAAUGUAAUCACGCAGGUCCUUAAAUCUGGAGAGCCUUUCCCGGCAGUGUUUAGAGGGAGCUGUGAGUAUAGAAGUAGGGUCAGAGCAACAGAACGUGCUGCCUUUGAAGAUGGAGGAAAGCGAGCCAUAAGGAGCAGGAUGUGGUGUAUUCCUGUGGCUUAGCAGAGGCGAAGGCCCACCCUGAUGGCCCAUUGAGUGACAGUGAGGCGAUUCGUCAAGAGAGUAGCUCCCUACUGAGGCCAGAGAUUGUUGUGAAGCCCCUCACUGGAAGUCCCUGAAGUUGAGAGAGGCUGCCAACCUGCUACACACUUACUUCCUGAGCUGGGUCCAUAAGGAGUUUGUGUUCUAAGAAGGGCUAACAUUUGGCACUGUGGCUUUGCUGCUGGCACAGAAAUACACUGCUGCGUCCCCUGACUCCGUGGACUGGAUCUCCAAGAUAACCCUGCUCGGAGAUUGAGAGAUGACAGCACCAAGCCCGGAGCCCGCUGAAAACAGAAGCCAGAGAGAGGAGAGCCCAGCAGGACCCGAGUCAGACAGGAUGACAGGCAGAGCUGAGCCUCACUCCCUCCCUGUGCUCCCAGCUCCUGGAGAAUCCUGUUUGUUUUGUGCAGUCUUUCUGUCAUCACCCUAGGGACAUAAUCCCCCAUCUCCUCUGACCGGUGGCUCUCACCUUACCGUUUAUACCUCUAGAGAGCAGGGCCGCUCCCUCUCCCUUUGAUGAGCAUAAACAAUCCACAUUGCCUGGCCACCACUUGACCAUGCCAACACACGCACAUGCCCACCAAAGCUCCCAGGUAGAAAGAGGCUCAUACCUGUCCCCAGAAGCAGCAGAAGCAACAGCAUCUUCAGUGAUGGCCCCACACCGCCUUCUCCGGGGGAGAGUUGUGACCACUGUCUCCAUUCACCAGUGAGGAGGGACGACUGAUCACAGAAUCUCAAGGAUGCUCUAGUCUGCCCCCUGGUGGUAAUCUUUGCCCAUGAUGAAUGUUACAUCCAUCUCUCUGCCUAUCAAAGAACCAUACAAGUCAGGCUUGGUGGCUCACGCCUGUAAUUCCAGCACUUUGGGAGGCAGAGGCGGGUGGAUCACAAGGUUAGGAGUUCAAGACCAACCUGGUCAACAUGGUGAAACCCCGUCUCUACU